GUGACUGAUCUGCAUGGUAUUCACCAAUAGGUGGGAGUACAUUCUCCCCCAAGCAAAUGAUUUCUCAUUCCUUGGAUGGCUCUGUAAAUACACGUGCAGUACAGCUGGAGCUACAGAAAGUACUAAAACAGGUACUGAUGUCUAGUAUCCACAUUUCUAACAACUCCCAAGGUUUGCAGACGCCUUCUGCAUUGGUAUCAGGGCUGAACGUUGC